UACGUAGGGUGCAAGCGUUAAUCGGAAUUACUGGGCGUAAAGCGCACGUAGGCGGAUUUGUAAGUCAGGGGUGAAAUCCCGGGGCUCAACCCCGGAACUGCCUUUGAUACUGCGAAUCUCGAGUCCGGAAGAGGUGAGUGGAAUUCCUAGUGUAGAGGUGAAAUUCGUAGAUAUUAGGAAGAACACCAGUGGCGAAGGCGGCUCACUGGUCCGGUACUGACGCUGAGGUGCGAAAGCGUGGGGAGCAAACAGG
rnacentral:rRNA from 1 species